rnacentral:rRNA from 1 species
UACGUAGGGGCCUAGCGUUGUCCGGAUUUAUUGGGCGUAAAGAGCUCGUAGGCGGUUCGGUAAGUCCGAUGUGAAAUCUCCAGGCUCAACCUGGAAAUGGCAUUGGAUACUAUUUAGCUUGAGGAGUGGAGGGGGGACUGGAAUUCUCGGUGUAGCAGUGAAAUGCGUAGAGAUAUGGAGGAACACCAGUGGCGAAGGCGACUUUCUGGUCUGUAACUGACACUGAGGCGCGAAAGCGUGGGGAGCAAACAGG